UGGGGAAUCUUGGACAAUGGGCGCAAGCCUGAUCCAGCCAUGCCGCGUGAGUGAUGAAGGCCCUAGGGUUGUAAAGCUCUUUCACCGGUGAAGAUAAUGACGGUAACCGGAGAAGAAGCCCCGGCUAACUUCGUGCCAGCAGCCGCGGUAAUACGAAGGGGGCUAGCGUUGUUCGGAUUUACUGGGCGUAAAGCGCACGUAGGCGGACUAUUAAGUCAGGGGUGAAAUCCCGGGGCUCAACCCCGGAACUGCCUUUGAUACUGGUAGUCUUGAGUUCGAGAGAGGGGGGUGGAAUUCCGGGUGUAGAGGUGAGAUUCGUAGAUAUUCGGAGGAACACCAGUGGCGAAGGCGGCUCACUGGCUCGAUACUGACGAUGAGGUGCGAAAGCGUGGGGAGCAAACAGG
rnacentral:rRNA from 1 species